CAGGACGAACGCUGGCGGCGUGCCUAAUACAUGCAAGUCGAACGAACUCUGGUAUUGAUUGGUGCUUGCAUCAUGAUUUACAUUUGAGUGAGUGGCGAACUGGUGAGUAACACGUGGGAAACCUGCCCAGAAGCGGGGGAUAACACCUGGAAACAGAUGCUAAUACCGCAUAACAACUUGGACCGCAUGGUCCGAGUUUGAAAGAUGGCUUCGGCUAUCACUUUUGGAUGGUCCCGCGGCGUAUUAGCUAGAUGGUGGGGUAACGGCUCACCAUGGCAAUGAUACGUAGCCGACCUGAGAGGGUAAUCGGCCACAUUGGGACUGAGACACGGCCCAAACUCCUACGGGAGGCAGCAGUAGGGAAUCUUCCACAAUGGACGAAAGUCUGAUGGAGCAACGCCGCGUGAGUGAAGAAGGGUUUCGGCUCGUAAAACUCUGUUGUUAAAGAAGAACAUAUCUGAGAGUAACUGUUCAGGUAUUGACGGUAUUUAACCAGAAAGCCACGGCUAACUACGUGCCAGCAGCCGCGGUAAUACGUAGGUGGCAAGCGUUGUCCGGAUUUAUUGGGCGUAAAGCGAGCGCAGGCGGUUUUUUAAGUCUGAUGUGAAAGCCUUCGGCUCAACCGAAGAAGUGCAUCGGAAACUGGGAAACUUGAGUGCAGAAGAGGACAGUGGAACUCCAUGUGUAGCGGUGAAAUGCGUAGAUAUAUGGAAGAACACCAGUGGCGAAGGCGGCUGUCUGGUCUGUAACUGACGCUGAGGCUCGAAAGUAUGGGUAGCAAACAGGAUUAGAUACCCUGGUAGUCCAUACCGUAAACGAUGAAUGCUAAGUGUUGGAGGGUUUCCGCCCUUCAGUGCUGCAGCUAACGCAUUAAGCAUUCCGCCUGGGGAGUACGGCCGCAAGGCUGAAACUCAAAGGAAUUGACGGGGGCCCGCACAAGCGGUGGAGCAUGUGGUUUAAUUCGAAGCUACGCGAAGAACCUUACCAGGUCUUGACAUACUAUGCAAAUCUAAGAGAUUAGACGUUCCCUUCGGGGACAUGGAUACAGGUGGUGCAUGGUUGUCGUCAGCUCGUGUCGUGAGAUGUUGGGUUAAGUCCCGCAACGAGCGCAACCCUUAUUAUCAGUUGCCAGCAUUAAGUUGGGCACUCUGGUGAGACUGCCGGUGACAAACCGGAGGAAGGUGGGGAUGACGUCAAAUCAUCAUGCCCCUUAUGACCUGGGCUACACACGUGCUACAAUGGAUGGUACAACGAGUUGCGAACUCGCGAGAGUAAGCUAAUCUCUUAAAGCCAUUCUCAGUUCGGAUUGUAGGCUGCAACUCGCCUACAUGAAGUCGGAAUCGCUAGUAAUCGCGGAUCAGCAUGC
rnacentral:rRNA from 2 species